AAUCAGUAGAGCCUUUGAAGGAAAGAGAAACUGGGAGCUGUCCACGAGCCCUUGGGGUGAAUCACACAGCCGCUGCAAACCUGUGCUCUGGGGCCCUGUGGAGCGUGUCCUGGUAGAAGCUGACAGGGUGAGGAUGCUAACCCAGCAGGCAAAGAAAACAGCUCUGCAAUACUCCAGGAGGGAGAAAGAUAAUACCGGAUUUCUAGGCCAGCUCCUUGGCGGAUGUGAAUGGGUAUCAGAAUGGUGAAGAAAGUGCAGUGGCUCCAAUUUUCACCAGAGGAGGAUCCGGCCUGUUUAAUCUGUUUGGAACUACCACUCAACUUCAAAGUGUAAUGGAACCACACAGCUGUGUUUGCAGAGUCCCUGAGCUGGGUCCAGGCACUCUUUGGGGCACGGAUUACAGAGCUGCUGGAGGACUAGCUGGCUUCAGCACAGAGCCUGAGGGUGCAAUCCAUACUCCAUCAGAUCUAAUCUGUAUCCCGUGUGUCCCGGAGGGGUUCUCUGCUCUGCCAUGAUGGCUCAUGUAAGUAUCCCUGUCGCUGGGCUCCACAUCCUGGUGUGGUCUCCCUAUGGCCACCUCUAUUGUGGCUAUGCAGGGAAGAACCCACCCCCGGCUGCCUUAGAUCGCCUUUGACUGUGGCUCUGGGUGCGGUGAGGGAGAAGCACAAAUCGGUGGGGAAG
rnacentral:lncRNA from 1 species